rnacentral:lncRNA from 1 species
UUUUUUUUCCAAGAGUUGCAUUUUAAAAGAAUUAUAUGCGUUUUUCUUGAAUGUGUUUUCAGAUUUCUUUUGUAGCUUGUUGCAUUUAAGUUCAUUCUAGCAAUUGAAAUUCAAGUCCAGUAGUGCGGUGUUUCUAAGCUAUAAUUUACAUGUCAUAUUUUAGUUCAAGCAUAACAAUUUUUAAUUCUUACUUCAAUGUGAUUUUUUUUGCUUUAGUUAAAGUGUUGCAUUUUAAUAGUUUUAAUUGUGUUUAGAUAUUUGUUUGUUGCAUUNUUCAGUUUAAUAUUUUCAUGCACUUUAAUGUUUUAAAUUAAAUUCGGUUGUGUUUAAUUUUUAUUUUUAAUUUCGUCAUUGCAUUCUCAAACCUUUUCAACCCCCCCCCCUUUGUAUUAGACUUAAUUGUUGAACCGCAAAAUUGGUCCUUGAAAGACGACCUAGGAGUCAUUCCCUAGCUAUACUGCAUUUCUCAUAUGUAAUCAAAUUUGUAUGGGCCGCGACACCCAUCAAGGAGACCCUUGGAAAACCAUUAAAAUAAAAUGUUGAUAAUUUUGCCUAGAGAGAAAGGUUGACACUAAACGAUGUAAAGUCAAUGAACUCUUUGACUCUGGUUUCGCCUAAUGGAGCAUGAGCUCUCCUAAUGAAAACCACUUCAAAGGCCCACUAUUAAAGGGUCGCCCAACAACAUAACCCAAUGUCACGUGGCUUGGAGCAAAAAUGCUCCCAAACUUAAAAAUUUGAUUUUGUGC